rnacentral:misc_RNA from 1 species
UGAUAAGGAUGGGGAUGGGAUGAUCGAAAAUGAAGGAUUUCCUGAUCAGACAUAUGAUGUAUGGUCUGUCUCUGGUGUGAGUGCUUACUGUGGUGGCCUAUGGGUGGCAGCUUUGCAGGCUGCAUCAGCCCUAGCUCGAGAAGUAGGUGAUAAGGGUUCUGAAGACUACUUUUGGUUUAAGUUUCAAAAGGCAAAGGAAGUUUAUCAAAAAUUGUGGAACGGUUCUUACUUCAACUAUGAUAAUAGUGGCAGUGCCGUAAGCUCAUCUAUUCAAGCUGAUCAAUUGGCUGGCCAAUGGUAUGCUCGAGCAUGUGGUCUUCUACCAAUUGUUGAUGAAGAAAAAGCCAAAACCGCACUUGAGACAGUGUUCAAUUUCAAUGUCAUGAAGGUCAAGGAUGGGAGGCGUGGAGCAGUGAAUGGAAUGCGGCCCAGUGGAGAACCUGACUUGUCUAGUUUGCAGUCAAGGGAGAUAUGGUCUGGAGUUACAUAUGCUGUAGCUGCAGCCAUGAUUCUUGAAGGCAUGGUGGAUACGGGAUUUAAAACUGCAUCUGGAGUCUAUGAAACUGUUUGGUCUGAAGAUGGCUUUGGCUAUGCUUUUCAGACCCCAGAAGGUUGGACCACAGAAGGCCGAUACAGAGCUCUGGGUUACAUGCGUCCUUUGGCAAUCUGGGCUAUGCAGUGGGCAUUAAACCCACCUAAGAUUCCCAAGCAAGAGGCGAAGCCAAAACUGGAGGCAGAUUCAUUGUCUAGGCAACAUGCUGGUUUUCAAGCGGUAGCUCGUCUUCUAAAGCUGCCCAAAGAGAAAGAUGCUAGAAGUGUUUUUCAGGUCCUUUUCGAUUACACCUGUAAAAGAAUAACAGGCUAAUAGAAGCUUUCUGGGAAAGAACCUGCAUUCUCAUAUGCCAGAACAAAUAUUUCUUGUGGAUACAUUCAUUGUUAUUUAACUGAAUAAGAGAUGGGAAGAGUCAAAGUUACAAAUGUGUAUCUGUUUGUACAAGACAGAAUUCAUGUGG